UGGGGAAUAUUGGACAAUGGGCGAAAGCCUGAUCCAGCCAUGCCGCGUGUGUGAAGAAGGUCUUCGGAUUGUAAAGCACUUUAAGUUGGGAGGAAGGGCAGUAAGCGAAUACCUUGCUGUUUUGACGUUACCGACAGAAUAAGCACCGGCUAACUCUGUGCCAGCAGCCGCGGUAAUACAGAGGGUGCAAGCGUUAAUCGGAAUUACUGGGCGUAAAGCGCGCGUAGGUGGUUCGUUAAGUUGAAUGUGAAAGCCCCGGGCUCAACCUGGGAACUGCAUCCAAAACUGGCGAGCUAGAGUAGGGCAGAGGGUGGUGGAAUUUACUGUGUGGCGGUGAAAUGCGUAGAUAUAGGAAGGAACACCAGUGGCGAAGGCGACCACCUGGGCUCAUACUGACACUGAGGUGCGAAAGCGUGGGGAGCAAACAGG
rnacentral:rRNA from 1 species